UGGUGAGUAACACGUGAGGAACCUGCCUUCCAGAGGGGGACAACAGUUGGAAACGACUGCCAAUACCGCAUGAAACAUUUGAACCGCAUGGUUUGAAUGUCAAAGAUUUAUCGCUGGAAGAUGGCCUCGCGUCUGAUUAGCUAGUAGGCGGGGUAACGGCCCACCAAGGCGACGAUCAGUAGCCGGACUGAGAGGUUGGCCGGCCACAUUGGGACUGAGACACGGCCCAGACUCCUACGGGAGGCAGCAG
rnacentral:rRNA from 1 species